GACGAACGCUGGCGGCGUGCCUAAUACAUGCAAGUAGAACGCUGAAGGAGGAGCUUGCUUCUCUGGAUGAGUUGCGAACGGGUGAGUAACGCGUAGGUAACCUGCCUGGUAGCGGGGGAUAACUAUUGGAAACGAUAGCUAAUACCGCAUAAUAGUAGAUGUUGCAUGACAUUUGCUUAAAAGGUGCAAUUGCAUCACUACCAGAUGGACCUGCGUUGUAUUAGCUAGUUGGUGAGGUAACGGCUCACCAAGGCAACGAUACAUAGCCGACCUGAGAGGGUGAUCGGCCACACUGGGACUGAGACACGGCCCAGACUCCUACGGGAGGCAGCAGUAGGGAAUCUUCGGCAAUGGACGGAAGUCUGACCGAGCAACGCCGCGUGAGUGCAGAAGGUUUUCGGAUCGUAAAGCUCUGUUGUAAGAGAAGAACGAGUGUGAGAGUGGAAAGUUCACACUGUGACGGUAUCUUACCAGAAAGGGACGGCUAACUACGUG
rnacentral:rRNA from 1 species